rnacentral:pre_miRNA from 1 species
UGUGUACUCCCUCCGUUCCAAAAUACUUGACUUACAUUUGUCCAAAAAUGGAUGUACCUAUAUACUAAAACAUGUCUAGAUACAUAUAUAUUUUGACAAAUAGAAGGCAUGUAUUGUGCAACGGAGGGAGUAGAAU